rnacentral:rRNA from 1 species
CCUACGGGAGGCAGCAGUGGGGAAUAUUGGACAAUGGGCGAAAGCCUGAUCCAGCAAUGCCGCGUGAGUGAUGAAGGCCUUAGGGUUGUAAAGCUCUUUUACCAGGGAUGAUAAUGACAGUACCUGGAGAAUAAGCUCCGGCUAACUCCGUGCCAGCAGCCGCGGUAAUACGGAGGGAGCUAGCGUUGUUCGGAAUUACUGGGCGUAAAGCGUACGUAGGCGGUUAUUCAAGUCAGAGGUGAAAGCCUGGAGCUCAACUCCAGAACUGCCUUUGAAACUAGAUAGCUAGAAUCUUGGAGAGGUGAGUGGAAUUCCGAGUGUAGAGGUGAAAUUCGUAGAUAUUCGGAAGAACACCAGUGGCGAAGGCGACUCACUGGACAAGUAUUGACGCUGAGGUACGAAAGCGUGGGGAGCAAACAGGAUUAGAUACCCUGGUAGUCCACGCCGUAAACGAUGAUAACUAGCUGUUCGGGCUCUACGAGCUUGAGUGGCGCAGCUACGACAUUAAGUUAUUCCGUCCGUCGGGGAGGUACGGUCGGCGAAGAAGUUAAAACUUAAAAUUAAGUAAGUUAGUACGGUACGUGAGACGUGCCGACGGACGACGACGAGGGAGGAGG